rnacentral:rRNA from 1 species
AAUCAAACUUGGAGAUAGCUCGUACUCCCCGAAAGGCAUUUAGGUGCCGCGUGCGACGAUCUCCAUAAGAGGUAGAGCGACCGAUAGGUCAAGAGGGCUUCACCGCCUAUCGAGACCUGACGAACUCCGAAUGCUUAUGGACUGCAGUCGUGCAGUAAGGGGGCGGGUGCUAAGGUCCGUCCCCGAGAGGAGAAGAAUCCAGACCGCCGUCUAAGGUCCCGAAAUUCUGUCUAAGUUAGUCUAACGAAGUCUGGUCCCCGUGACAGCUAGGAUGUUGGCUUGGAAGCAGCCAUUCAUUCAAAGAGUGCGUAACAGCUCACUAGUCGAGGGUCCGGGCAUGGAUAAUAAUCGGGUAUAAGUCAGAUACCGAAGGCGCGGGAUAGUAAUGUAUAUUAAAAGUAUCGGUAGGGGAGCAUUCCAUCGGCGUUGAAUGGUGAGGGUAACCGAUCCUGGAGCUUAUGGAAAAGCAAAUGUAGGUAUAAGUAACGAUAAAAAGGGUGAGAUUCCCUUUCGCCGAAAGACCGAGGUUUCCCGGGCGAUGCCAAUCAGCCCGGGGUUAGUCGGGUCCUAAGUCUCAGCCGAACGGCGAAGGCGAUGGCAGAUGCGGUUAAUAUUCCGCAACUCGCAUAUACAGUGAUGUGGAGACGGAGCAGUGACACUGCCGCGCCCUGACGGAAUAGGGCGUUUAAGUGCGUAGGCUAUGAGGAAGGCAGGCAAAUCCACCUUCCGAGCUGAACCAUGAAAGUACAGGUAAUCCUUCGGGAUAACUUGAGUGCAGGUAAUCAUACUUCCGAGAAAAUCCGCUAAACUUAAUGUAUAUGCGACCCGUACCGCAAACGGACACACGUGGUCGGGUAGAAUAUACUAAGGCG